rnacentral:lncRNA from 10 species
GUAAGGAAGUGUAGUCAGCAGCUGGUGCAGUGGGAAGAAGAGAAAGGAAGUUCCCCAAGACAAAAACAUCUCGGCAGACUUCAUCAUGAAUUCAUGGCAUCACACAGUCCCCUGAUGCUAUAACAUCAUGGAUUUCUUUUGUCCAGUGAGAGGCCCAAAAGCUGCAGCAUAGACAAUAUCAUAGUGUAGAAGGUUCACUAGACCGUGAUCAUGGGCUACAUUCUCCGUACCAGCUUCAUAGCUCCAGUGAGAAAAUAAAUUCCUGCAUCCAGGAGAUGUGGAGUAAGAGAUACAGCUGCCCUUGACCAUAUUUCUUACUUCCGAGAAGAUCGUAGCAGUAAUUCAGAAUCUCAUCCAGGAUACCUCAUCACAGGCUGGAGUGCAGUGUCAUGAGCUUGGCUCACUACAGCCUCCAUCUUCUGUGCUUAAGGAUCCUUCCCUCUCAACCUCCAAGGUAGCUGAGACUACAGGCAACAUUCGAAACCCAGGUGCCACUCCUUCAGGAAGGCUCCAUCAGGAACUGUGCAGGACUGUGCACUCUGUUGAUACUCACAUGGUGGAAUUAUAUUGCCCUUGGCCAACCCUAAAGCCAUCAAGAUAGCAGAAUUAAUGAAGGAUCAUUAUUAAGUUUUUAAUGGGUCAAGAGAAAGUUACCACUGAGGUCUUCUCUACCUGGGCAACAAUUGACUCCUAACAACCACUAUAAGCUUGGAAGAUGAUCCCUCCCCAGCUGAUCCUUCAGGAUGGAGGACUGCCCUCCUGACUCAUUGUGCCCUUCCUGGCAGGAUCUUCAUUUUGCAGAUAUAGGUGGGAUCCAUGGAUCAGAAAACUCAAAGCAGUCGGCUUAUGGCCAUGUGGUGUCUAAACAUCUGAAACUGAUUGCUGCCUACGAGGAAGUGCAAAUAAGCGGGAUCUGCAGCUGCCCAAGACAGGGGACCCAAAGGGAGAGAGCAGUGUGGCAAGCAAAAGGCAUGCUGAAGAGGCAGUGAGCCAAGGAAUUUCCACUGAAGUACCUCUGGUUGAAAAGGAGAACAGAGACUUUUUUCACAGCCACAGGACAAAAUUUGUUCAGAAUUAAAUGCUGAAAAAGG